UCUACUUAUGUUCCAACAUCUUGGUGGGUUUCACUGAUCCUGUUUAGGUCUUAAAUAGAACUGGGAAAGAAGAAGGAACCAUGUGCUAGUCAUUCUGCCUCUUAUGCUACCUCCCUUGUCACAGUUUUUCAUCACCACAGUCCUCUGAACAGUGUCCCCCUGAACAGUAGCCAUUGUUUCUGGACCUCCAUUUUUAAACCUUUUCUUUCUCUUCCUGAAGAUAAAGAGCAAUGCUAAUAGUUCUGAGCAAACAUAUUGGGAAGAAAGUUAUGCAAUGUAUAACGGUUGGGCAGGAAGCUGAGAUGAGAAUGCAAGAUGAGAAAAGACAAGGUAAGACUGAGGGCAGUACCCAAGACCAGGCAUAAGAUGAGCCAGACCCAGAGAGAACCUGGAAGCUGGAUAUAGGGAGAAAAACAUGAGACCUAGGCGGCAGACCUGGCUCCCUGCUUACCUGUGCCGUACCAGGCAAUUAAUUAACCUCUCAGCACUAAUUUUUAAUCUGUAUAAAAUGAGAACUAUACU
rnacentral:lncRNA from 1 species